GGCAGUGUGGCGUAGUGGUAAGGAGCAGGGCUAGUAACCGAGAUGUUGCCAGUUCGAUUCCCUGUUGGGUUGCUGCCA